CGUGCGGGUUAAUAUCAACCGACCUUAGCUCAGUUGGUAGAGCGGAGGACUGUAGUUGGAAUAACCAUCAGAUAUCCUUAGGUCACUGGUUCGAAUCCGGUAGGUCGGAU
rnacentral:tRNA from 1 species